UACGUAGGGGGCAAGCGUUGUCCGGAAUUAUUGGGCGUAAAGCGUGCGUAGACGGUUAAGUAAGUUAGGUGUGAAAGCCCCGGGCUCAACCUGGGAAUUGCAUUUAAGACUGCAUAGCUAGGGUGCGGAAGAGGGAAGCGGAAUUUCCGGUGUAGCGGUGAAAUGCGUAGAUAUCGGAAGGAACAUCAGUGGCGAAAGCGGCUUCCUGGUCCAGCACAGACGUUCAGGCACGAAAGCGUGGGGAGCAAACAGG
rnacentral:rRNA from 1 species